GCCUUCGUGGUGUAAUGGUCAGCACACUGAGCCGGUAUUUCAGAGAUCCGUGGUUCGAUUCCUCGGCGAAGGCG
rfam:Stegodyphus mimosarum contig48584, whole genome shotgun sequence.